GCUCGGCAUCGAGCAGAGGGAAAAGGAGCAAUCCGCUUUGAGAUGGCCUCGCGUCCGAUUAGCUAGUUGGUGAGGUAACGGCCCACCAAGGCGACGAUCGGUAGCCGGACUGAGAGGUUGAACGGCCACAUUGGGACUGAGACACGGCCCAGACUCCUACGGGAGGCAGCAGUGGGGAAUAUUGCACAAUGGGGGAAACCCUGAUGCAGCGACGCCGCGUGGAGGAAGAAGGUCUUCGGAUUGUAAACUCCUGUUGUUGAGGAAGAUAAUGACGGUACUCAACAAGGAAGUGACGGCUAACUACGUGCCAGCAGCCGCGGUAAAACGUAGGUCACAAGCGUUGUCCGGAAUUACUGGGUGUAAAGGGAGCGCAGGCGGGAGAACAAGUUGGAAGUGAAAUCCAUGGGCUCAACCCAUGAACUGCUUUCAAAACUGUUUUUCUUGAGUAGUGCAGAGGUAGGCGGAAUUCCCGGUGUAGCGGUGGAAUGCGUAGAUAUCGGGAGGAACACCAGUGGCGAAGGCGGCCUACUGGGCACCAACUGACGCUGAGGCUCGAAAGUGUGGGUGGCAAACAGGAUUAGAUACCCUGGUAGUCCACACCGUAAACGAUGAUUACUAGGUGUU
rnacentral:rRNA from 1 species